rnacentral:rRNA from 1 species
GCAAUAGCUAGUUGCAUCAUAGUAGAUAUGAUGCAAGAUCGACUAUGUUGAAUAAAAUUCUAGGUAGAAUUAUGAUAAUGACAUUGUCUGCCUAUGUGUCUUGACCAAAUUACGUGCCAGCAGUCGCGGUAAUACGUAGAAGACUAGUGUUAUUCAUGUUUAAUCGGUUUAAAGGGUACCUAGACGGUAGAUCAAGCUUUCUAAUAAAGGAAAAGGACUAGUUUACUAGAGUUACUUAUGAGGGGGUAUUAAAGUACUGCUGGUGUAGAGAUGAAAUUCUGUCAUACCUCUUUUCAAAAGAAAAACCAUGGCACAGGUAUAGGCGAAGGCAUCCCCUUAUGUGAUAACUGACGUUGAGGGACGAAGGCUUUGUGUAGCGAACAGGAUUAGAUACCCCAGUAGUCGAAGCAGAAAAUGAUGAAUGUCAUAGAUUAGAUAUAUAAGUUUAUUCUAUAAAUGAAAGUGUAAGCAUUCCACCUCAUGAGUAAUUUGGCAACAUUGGAACUGAAAUCAUUAGACCGUUUCUGAAACCAGUAGUGAAGUAUGUUGUUUAAUUUGAUGUCCCGCAAAAAACCUUACCACAAUUUGAAUAUUUAUAUUGUUUAUUGUUUUAUUCUUAAUUUUCUUGAACGUAAAAAUCACGUUAAAGAAAAGAGAGAAGGAUAAUAGUAAGAAAAUUAAGAAAAAAGCAAUAAG